rnacentral:tRNA from 1 species
AAAAAGGUAAGCUAAUAAAGCUUAUAGGUUCAUACCCUAUCUAUAAAAGUUUUAAUCUUUUUCUUUUUA